rnacentral:snRNA from 1 species
ACUCAUGCCUUAUAGGGGAAAUACCAUGUUGUAAGAGUGGUUUUCCAAGGGGGAAAGGUUCAUCCAUUGCACUUCAGGUGUGCUGCUGAUCCCUGUGAUUGCCCCAAAUGUGGGGAACUCAUCUGCAUAAGUUGUGUUAAUGGGAGAUUGCACUUGUGAUUAACCCUG